rnacentral:rRNA from 1 species
AGAAUCAACGCUGGCGGCGCGCCUAACACAUGCAAGUCGAACGGGAAAGGGGAGCAAUCCCUGAGUAUAGUGGCGUACGGGUGAGUAACACGUGGGUAAUCUACCUUUUAGUGUGGAAUAACCCUGGGAAACCGGGGCUAAUACCGCAUAAUCCCGAGAGGGGAAAGUCGCAAGACGCUGAAAGAGGAGCCCGCGGCCGAUUAGCUAGUUGGUGAGGUAAGAGCCCACCAAGGCAUAGAUCGGUAGCCGGCCUGAGAGGGCACACGGCCACACUGGCACUGAAACACGGGCCAGACUCCUACGGGAGGCAGCAGUGGGGAAUCUUGCACAAUGGGGGAAACCCUGAUGCAGCGACGCCGCGUGAGCGAUGAAGCCCCUCGGGGUGUAAAGCUCUUUCGGCAGGGAAGACGAUGACGGUACCUGCAGAAGCAGCUGCGGCUAACUACGUGCCAGCAGCCGCGGUAAUACGUAGGCAGCGAGCGUUGUUCGGAGUUACUGGGCGUAAAGGGUGUGUAGGCGGUUGUUUAAGUUUGGUGUGAAAUCUCCCGGCUCAACCGGGAGGGUUGCGCCGAAUACUGAGCGACUAGAGUGCGGGAGAGGAGAGUGGAAUUCCUGGUGUAGCGGUGAAAUGCGUAGAUAUCAGGAGGAACACCGGCGGUGUAGACGGCUCUCUGGACCGCGACUGACGCUGAGACACGAAAGCGUGGGUAGCAAACAGGAUUAGAUACCCUGGUAGUCCACGCCCUAAACGAUGCAUAUUUGGUGUGGGCAGUUCAUUCUGUCCGUGCCGGAGCUAACGCGUUAAAUAUGCCGCCUGGGGAGUACAGUCGCAAGGCUG